rnacentral:rRNA from 1 species
GCUGAUGUUGCCCUGAACUCGGCAAAUUACCCCCGUAACUUCGGGAGAAGGGGGGCCACAGACCGUGAAACCCCAUGCGGGUGGCAGCGGUAGGUGGCCGCAGAGACCAGGGGGAAGCGACUGUUUACUAAAAACACAGGUCCGUGCGAAGUCGUAAGACGAUGUAUACGGACUGACGCCUGCCCGGUGCUGGAACGUUAAGGGGACCGGUUAGUCCGCAAGGGCGAAGCUGAGAACUUAAGCGCCAGUAAACGGCGGUGGUAACUAUAACCAUCCUAAGGUAGCGAAAUUCCUUGUCGGGUAAGUUCCGACCUGCACGAAUGGCGUAACGACUUCCCUACUGUCUCAACCACAGGCCCGGCGAAAUUGCACUACGAGUAAAGAUGCUCGUUACGCGCGGAAGGACGGAAAGACCCCGGGACCUUCACUAUAGCUUGACAUUGGUACUCGAAUUGAAUUGUGUAGGAUAGGUGGGAGACUAUGAAGCUCGGACGCCAGUCCGGGUGGAGUCAACGUUGAAAUACCACUCUGUUGAAUUUGGGUAUCUAACUUCGGACCGUGAUCCGGUUCAGGGACAGUGUCUGGUGGGUAGUUUAACUGGGGCGGUUGCCUCCUAAAAUGUAACGGAGGCGCCCAAAGGUUCCCUCAGCCUGGUUGGCAAUCAGGUGUUGAGUGCAAGUGCACAAGGGAGCUUGACUGUGAGACUGACAGGUCGAGCAGGGACGAAAGUCGGGACUAGUGAUCCGGCACCGGCGAGUGGAAGCGGUGUCGCUCAACGGAUAAAAGGUACCCCGGGGAUAACAGGCUGAUCUUCCCCAAGAGUCCAUAUCGACGGGAUGGUUUGGCACCUCGAUGUCGGCUCGUCGCAUCCUGGGGCUGGAGUAGGUCCCAAGGGUUGGGCUGUUCGCCCAUUAAAGCACGCGAGCUGGGUUUAGAACGUCGUGAGACAGUUCGGUCCCUAUCCUCCGCGCGCGCAGGAGACUUGAGAAGAGCUGUCCCUAGUACGAGAGGACCGGGACGGACGAACCUCUGGUGUGCCAGUUGUCAUGCCAAUGGCACGGCUGGUUAGCUACGUUCGGAAGGGAUAACCGCUGAAAGCAUCUAAGCGGGAAGCCUGCUUCAAGAUGAGGUCUCCCACCCCCUCGAGGGUUAAGGCCCCCAGCAAGACCACUGGGUUGAUAGGCCAGAAGUGUAAGCCUGGUAACAGGUUCAGCCGACUGGUACUAAUAGGCCGAGGACUUCACCU